AGAGUUUGAUCAUGGCUCAGAGCGAACGUUAGCGGCGGGCCUAACACAUGCAAGUCGAGCGAGAAAGGGCUUCGGCCUGAGUACAGCGGCGGACGGGUGAGGAACACGUAGGUAAUCUGCCCUUUAGUGGAGGACAACGGUCCGAAAGGACCGCUAAUACUGCAUACGUUUUUUGGGACUCCGGUACCAAAAAGGAAAGCCUCGCAAGGGGCGCUGAAGGAGGAGCCUGCGUCGCAUCAGCUAGUUGGUGGGGUAACGGCCUACCAAGGCGAAGACGCGUAGCUGGUCUGAGAGGAUGAUCAGCCACACUGGGACUGAGACACGGCCCAGACUCCUACGGGAGGCAGCAGUGGGGAAUAUUGGACAAUGGGGGCAACCCUGAUCCAGCCACGCCGCGUGAGUGAUGAAGGCCUUCGGGUCGUAAAGCUCUGUGGGGAGGGACGAACGUCCGAGUGAAGAACUCGGGGUGACGGUACCUCCUUAGCAAGCACCGGCUAACUUCGUGCCAGCAGCCGCGGUAAUACGAAGGGUGCAAACGUUGCUCGGAAUCAUUGGGCGUAAAGCGCACGUAGGCGGCCCAGUAAGUCGGAUGUGAAAUCCCUCGGCUCAACCGAGGACGUGCAUCCGAAACUGCUAGGCUUGAGUAUGGAAGAGGGUCGCAGAAUUCCCGGUGUAGAGGUGAAAUUCGUAGAGAUCGGGA
rnacentral:rRNA from 1 species